GAUGAACGCUGGCGGCGUGCUUAACACAUGCAAGUCGAACGGAAAGGCUCCUGCUUGCAGGGGUCCUCGAGUGGCGAACGGGUGAGUAACACGUGGGUGAUCUGCCCUGUACUUCGGGAUAAGCUUGGGAAACUGGGUCUAAUACCGGAUAGGACAACUUUUUGGAUAUUGUUGUGGAAAGCUUUUGUGGUAUGGGAUGAGCUCGCGGCCUAUCAGCUUGUUGGUGGGGUAAUGGCCUACCAAGGCGUCGACGGGUAGCCGGCCUGAGAGGGUGUACGGCCACAUUGGGACUGAGAUACGGCCCAGACUCCUACGGGAGGCAGCAGUGGGGAAUAUUGCACAAUGGGCGCAAGCCUGAUGCAGCGACGCCGCGUGGGGGAUGAAGGCCUUCGGGUUGUAAACUCCUUUCGCUAGGGACGAAGCUUUUUUGUGACGGUACCUGGAGAAGAAGCACCGGCUAACUACGUG
rnacentral:rRNA from 1 species